CUUCUUUUAUGCCACUGAAACAAAAAGAAACCAAUGAUGGUACCGCAGCACCCCAAAGAGGCCUCUUCCCAGCAUCACGAUGAGUUCUACGCAUGAGAUUUGCACUCCCCCAAACAAUUAGAUAACGCUGAGGAGAUCGGCAGCGUAGCCCCACGCACCCCAUGUCCCAUUUACUUGUGACAAUGGAUCAUUAGACCCAGGGGCUCAAAACCCCCAACAGAGAACAAAACAGAGCGGAAGUAGGAUGGAAGAACUGAUCCACCUCACCAGAAAAGGAGGAGCCUUGAGAGUAGACAGCAAAAGGCAGCCCAUGGACAAAUACUUGCGGCGGGCACAGUGGAACAUUUCUCUAGAAGCCUCCUACCGUCUUAAUGUGCAUGCUUUGCUAGAGGGAGAAACAAUCUUAACCUGACAACACCAAGGCCUCCGGGAUCCUAGCAGAUGAAAACACCUUUGGAAACUUCCCCUUGCCUUUACCUCCCCCAACUCCCGAGUAUAGAAUCAGUCACUCCUCACAAUCCCAGGGUAGCUCUUUCUGUCCACGGGCCCUGUCCCCAUGCUUUAAUAAAAUCACUUUUUUGCACCAAA